AUACGGAGGGUACAAACGUUAAUCGGAAUUACUGGGCGUAAAGCGCGCGUAGGUGGUUUGUUAAGUGGGAUGUGAAAGCCCCGGGCUCAACCUGGGAACUGCAUUCCAAACUGACGAACUAGAGUACGAUAGAGGGGGGUAGAAUUCAGAGUGUAGCGGUGAAAUGCGUAGAUAUUCUGAGGAAUACCGGUGGCGAAGGCGGCCCCCUGGAUUGAUACUGACACUGAGGUGCGAAAGCGUGGGGAGCAAACAGGAUUAGAAACCCCGGUAGUCC
rnacentral:rRNA from 1 species